rnacentral:rRNA from 1 species
UUAAGCCAUGCAUGUUUCCGCAAUCAGGGACGAAUAGCUCAGUAAAACUGCGAUGAUUUAGUCUGGCUGUGUAGAUAACUACGUGAAAAUGUAGCUAAGGGAAGGCAGAAUAAGACGCAGGACUAUCAGUUAGUUGGUAGUGUAAUGGACUACCAAGACAGUGACGGUUGACGGGAAAUUAGGGUUUUGUACCGGAGAGGGAGCCUGAGAGAUUGCUCCCACGUCCAAGGACGGCAGCAGGCGCGAAAAUUGCCCACUCUUUGCAGGAGGCAGUUAUGAGACGUGAAGAUGAGUAUCUUGUAAAGAGGGAUAGGAGAAUUGGAGGGCAAGUUUGGUGCCAGCAGCCGCGGUAAUACCGACUCCAAGAGUGUGUAUGAGAGAUGCUGCAGUUAAAAAGUCCGUAGUCAUAGAAGGGCAAAGAGAGAUGCGAGGUCUCACAGUGCGAUGAUGGAAGGAGCCGAUGGGGAACAUAGUAUACCAGGGCGAGA